GUGUUCACUGAUUUGGUUUUGGAUUUAAUUUUUGUACAUGGAGAUUCCACUGUUGUGUUACCGAAGUGUCUCAUUGGAUCAAAUUCGGAGUAGUUGUAGCUUGCCUUCCUCUGUCUCAGAUUACAGGUGUUUUAUUAAGCAGAAAACUUUAUCUUCUGUGUAUCGUUUUUCUUUAAAUAGAAGAAAAUGGAGGAAUCCCUUCGCCAAGAUUCGGUGUUGUUCACUGCAUCGAGGGCUACAACCACGCCCUAAGCCGAAACCUUCAAAAUUUGACGCUGAUGUAGAAGAAGAAACUGAUUUGCGAGAUACCCAAAUAAAAAAGCCCAGUGCCAGAGUUUGUAGUCAGUUAGAGAAAUUAGUUCUUUAUGGAAGGUACAGAGAGGCACUUGAGUUGUUUGAGAUCUUUGAGCAGUAUGGUGGGUUUGAUAUGGGCAGUAGCACGUAUGAUGCAUUAGUCAGUGCGUGUAUAGGGUUAAGAUCUAUCCCUGGAGUGAAGAGAGUGUUUAAUUACAUGAUGAGUAAUGGAUUCGAACCUGAUCAGUACAUGAGAAACAGAAUAUUGCUUAUGCAUGUUAAAUGUGGGAUGAUGAUCCAUGCACGUAAAUGGUUUGACGAAAUGCACGAGAGGAAUCUGGUUUCUUGGAACACCAUCAUUGCUGGGCAUGUGGACACAGGGGACUAUGUAGAAGCUUUUAGGCUGUUUCUGAUAAUGUGGG
rnacentral:misc_RNA from 1 species